CUCCGUGUUGUAGCUAACGCGUUAAGCACUCCGCCUGGGGACUACGGUCGCAAGACUAAAACUCAAAGGAAUUGACGGGGACCCGCACAAGCGGUGGAGCAUGUGGUUUAAUUCGAUGCAACGCGAAAAACCUUACCACUCCUUGACAUGGAGAUUAGAUCCUUCUUAACGGAAGGGCGCAGUUCGGCUGGAUCUCGCACAGGUGCUGCAUGGCUGUCGUCAGCUCGUGUCGUGAGAUGUUGGGUUAAGUCCCGCAACGAGCGUAACCCUCAUCCUUAGUUGCCAGCGGGUAAGCCGGGCACUUUAAGGAAACUGCCGGUGGUAAACCGGAGGAAGGUGGGGAUGAUGUCAAGUCAGCACGGCCCUUAUGGGGUGGGCUACACACGUGCUACAAUGGUGACUACAAUAGGUUGCAAUGUCGCAAGGCUGAGCUAAUCCGUAAAAGUCAUCUCAGUUCGGAUUGUCCUCUGCAACUCGAGGGCAUGAAGUCGGAAUCGCUAGUAAUCGUGGAUCAGCAUGCCACGGUGAAUACGUUCUCGGGUCUUGUACACACUGCCCGUCACGCCAUGGGAAUUGGCUUAACUCGAAGCUGGUGCGC
rnacentral:rRNA from 2 species